rnacentral:lncRNA from 1 species
CCUAUUGAUUCAACCUUUUAGGAAUUAAUAAACGAACCAACAAUAUGAUCCAUAUGUGACAAGAUGUCUCUCAUACGCCCGAUCCAAUCAUAGCAUUGUCAAGGCCACGUCUCAACUUGUUCCUUCAGAGCUUGAGUAAGUGUAAGACAAUCAAAAUUGUUUAAAGUCAAUAAUCUUUUGCAAUUUUCAUCGCUGUGAGUAGCGUCUUAGCUUCCGCUAUAAUAAGUGAUGAACAAAAUAACUGACCUAAAAUAUCAUUGCGAACUCUCCAAUGUGAAUCCUUAAUGAUGACACCAUAAUCCGACACAUAAACAUUGUCAACGAAAAAACCAUCACAUCAAAUUUUCUAUUGCCAAUCAGUCUCAAAAGGAAAGAAGAGUUCACACCAAUGACCCAAUCGCUGCUUUCUUCUGAACAUCUUUAUGAAAAGAGCCAUCACACACAGAAAUGCUUCUCCAGAUUAGAUCAAGUGCUAGAUAUUCGUUAUUGACUAAUUGAGAACACAAUAGGUGACCUUAAGACUCCAGAUAUGGUGAAGAAGUAGUAUAUAGGCAUUUAAAAUUUCAACAACAACAUGGAAUGGGGAAGAAGAAGAGAUACAUGUGAGUAGGAGCAAUAGGGUGGGAAUUGGGAGAUUCCUAAUGUCCAAUAAAAAUACAAACAAAAAAUACUUGGGAAGUGGAAGGGAGAUAUUUAUUUUUAUAACUUAUAAUAAUAAAGAGUGUCUGAAAACAGCAAGAAAUGUCUGCAUGGUGAAAGAUACUCUCUGCCACAACCCAUCAGAAUGAAGAUUAUGUUGAUGUUGGUGUUUGUUUGGUUUCCGGGUUCAGCUUCAGCAGCCGGCAAAUUUACUAGCUGAUCACCUGCAGUCAGCCAGCCUAACCUAGCUAGCUAGCUAGCUAGUUAAAAAGGAAUCAAAAACAAGCCACCAAGAAACAAAGUCCCCCAUUAACAAACAACAGGAAUCUGAUGCUGCUGCUGCCUGCUGUUCCACACCCCCAAUGACUCUGCUUCUGCUAACUGCUACUGCUCAUGAAAAACAUCAAUAAUACACACCUAAAAGUCAAAGAGUAUGACUUAGGGAGGGGGGCUGAUUAGGAAUUUAUGCGUUCAAAGCACAAAGAACAAGGGAAGGAAUAGCAGUAGUAAAUAGUAAUUAAUUAAGGGAGAGUAGUAAAAUGAAGGAAAUCACAUGGGAGGCAUAAUAUUGGGCCUCCCCACUCACCCAAUCCCAUGAGGAGCUUCAGGAUUCAGCAGCAGACUCUAUCUCUGCUAUCCUUUUGCAGUUUGCUGUCUGUGCCAAAGUUUUUUGAGCUUAAAUUGGCAAAUUUGUUACUCACCGCAUACUCAUAGGUGGGUGGGUGGGUGAGUUGUUUGGUUUCGUGUAACUCUUUUCAACAACAUUUAUUAUUAAAUUUAUGAAUGUAUAGCAUUUCAAUUUCUGCUCACAUAUUCCCAGGAAUGGAAUUGGGUAGCUUUGCUUUAACCCUAUUAGGGGAAAAAAAGGAAUGGAAUUGGGUUGACGUGCCUGCCUGUGACUGAAAUAUCUAUCCCAUGUUCCCAGGUUAACCCUUUCAGUUUUCCUUCCUUUCGUUCGUUCACGCCAUUGAAUCUAUCUGGCCUCUGCCUGCUUCAUUUACUUUCUACUUAUGCUAUGUCAUAACUCAUAUCUGUCGUUAUUCAUUCUUUGCUUGUUUAUCACUCCAAAAUUAUUUGCUUGUUUCCUUAAUAUUUGAGUGCCAAAAGAAAGUUGGAAUCUUAACCGGUUAACUUGUAUCAUCAAAAUCAAUCUGGUCGACCCGUAUCAUAAUUUUAGUUGUUGC